rnacentral:rRNA from 1 species
UACGAAGGGGGCUAGCGUUGCUCGGAAUCACUGGGCGUAAAGGGCGCGUAGGCGGCCAUUCAAGUCGGGGGUGAAAGCCUGUGGCUCAACCACAGAAUUGCCUUCGAUACUGUUUGGCUUGAGUAUGGUAGAGGUUGGUGGAACUGCGAGUGUAGAGGUGAAAUUCGUAGAUAUUCGCAAGAACACCGGUGGCGAAGGCGGCCAACUGGACCAUUACUAACGCUGAGGCGCGAAAGCGUGGGGAGCAAACAGG